UAAAAUAACCAAUUUUCAAUGCGUAUAUUUUUAUUCUAACAUUUGUAUGCUAAAGGCUGUUGAAAUUCUCUUCAUGCAAAAAGAGAAAAUCAUGUGUUUAAUGAAAAUUCUCCAGAGGACAAUUCAAGGUCAGACACAGCGUCAAUUGUCCUUCAUGCCAGUGAACGGAUCCUUCAACAGAAAAACGGAAGAGAAACCUAAACAGCACGUCUUCAACUUUGCAGAAUACGCCUAUUUUCAUGUUUCUUCUGACAACAAGCUACAAAAGCCUUCAAAUAACAAUAUAGAACAGAAUAAACAGCAGGUUACUGUAAAUAACGGAAACUACGACGGCGACAUAAAAUGUCUGUAUAGUCCAGGAAUUAAAUUUUAGAGAGGAAUUUGAACGCCAUGACGUUUCCCAUCUCUGAUGUCCAUUUGAAUCCGCAUGGAAUCAUUCUUGUUCAUAUGAAGAGGAACAUUCUUCCUUUAAAAAGACGAAAAGAUACGAUUGAAUAACGACUAUAUAUUUAUAUAUAGUAUACGGGAUCAUACAGUUGAAUAAUGACUUCAGCAUUUACUAUAUAUAUUUCUAGUAUCGAUCUUCUAGACAGUUUCUGAAUGCUCGGUUGAUCCUUGUAUUUCCUCAGUAUUUGUAGAAAUGCCAUUUUUGUGAUUUGUUUUAACCCAUAGAAUUUUCUGCAUUUCUUAUCAAUAUAUCUGUAGACUCAACGAUUUUCAUUUGUAUGUAAAAUUGCAACAUAUACAAAAAUAUAUAAAUUAUAUGUAAAAACAAAAA